AUUGAACGCUGGCGGCAGGCCUAACACAUGCAAGUCGAACGGAUGAUGGGAGCUUGCUCCUGGAUUCAGCGGCGGACGGGUGAGUAAUGCCUAGGAAUCUGCCUGGUAGUGGGGGACAACGUUUCGAAAGGAACGCUAAUACCACAUACGUCCUACGGGAGAAAGCAGGGGACCUUCGGGCCUUGCGCUAUCAGAUGAGCCUAGGUCGGAUUAGCUUGUUGGUGAGGUAAUGGCUCACCAAGGCGACGAUCCGUAACUGGUCUGAGAGGAUGAUCAGUCACACUGGAACUGAGACACGGUCCAGACUCCUACGUGAGGCAGCAGUGGGGAAUAUUGGACAAUGGGCGAAAGCCUGAUCCAGCCAUGCCGCGUGUGUGAAGAAGGUCUUCGGAUUGUAAAGCACUUUAAGUUGGGAGGAAGGGUUGUAGAUUAAUACUCUGCAAUUUUGACGUUACCGACAGAAUAAGCACCGGCUAACUCUGUGCCAGCAGCCGCGGUAACAC
rnacentral:rRNA from 1 species